GAUGAACGCUGGCGGUGUGCCUAAUACAUGCAAGUCGAGCGAACGGACGAGAAGCUUGCUUCUCUGAUGUUAGCGGCGGACGGGUGAGUAACACGUGGAUAACCUACCUAUAAGACUGGGAUAACUUCGGGAAACCGGAGCUAAUACCGGAUAAUAUUUUGAACCGCAUGGUUCAAAAGUGAAAGACGGUCUUGCUGUCACUUAUAGAUGGAUCCGCGCUGCAUUAGCUAGUUGGUAAGGUAACGGCUUACCAAGGCAACGAUGCAUAGCCGACCUGAGAGGGUGAUCGGCCACACUGGAACUGAGACACGGUCCAGACUCCUACGGGAGGCAGCAGUAGGGAAUCUUCCGCAAUGGGCGAAAGCCUGACGGAGCAACGCCGCGUGAGUGAUGGAGGUCUUCGGAUCGUAAAACUCUGUUAUUAGUGAAGAACAUAUGUGUAAGUAACUGUGCACAUCUUGACGGUACCUAAUCAGAAAGCCACGGCUAACUACGUG
rnacentral:rRNA from 1 species